CCGGCAAGUAAGUAUUUGGUUAAUAAGCAAAAUAGUUCUGUUAAUAGGUUAGGGUUGGGGUUGGGUUUGCAUUUGGAUUGGAAUUAGGGUUAGAGUUAGGGUUCAGUUUAGAGAUGGGUUAGGGUUAAGGGUGGAGUUGGGGGAAAAUUAUGGUGGAUAAGAUGACUGAAAAGGGGAAAAGAAAAGAUGGAGGCUAUGAAAGGUAGAAACAAAAAAGAGAAGGAGAAAUUAGCAAAAAAAGUUGGUGAGAAAUUUUAAGGAAAUAUUAGAGAAAUCAUUUGGAAUAGAAAAAAGAGAGAGAAAUCUAUGGAAAAAUA
rnacentral:lncRNA from 1 species